ACUAUGAUUCAUUUUUUGACAGCCAGGUUCUUAUUUAUUUAAACAUGGCAUCCUGAAAUACGUGUGGCUUUUGAAUGGUGCUCCCUAGCAGGAUGGAACUCUGUGAAGUAGAUUGGAGCCACAGCGUAUGGCCAGUCCUGAUGAGAAUGAAACAUCAGUACAUCGAAAGACAGAAUGUUGAAAGUGGCCCAAGGUAGGG